CAAAGUAGACCUGACUGAAGAGAAGUGUCAACAAUGUAAGGCCAAUACAGACUAUACUGUGGUCAGACUGUGGUUGUACUGAGCAGCUUCCAGGUAUGAUUGUGUAACUGUGUGAAUGUGAUCAGGAUGUUCCUCUUAAAAGAGAGCAUUGCUCCUAAAGAGGAAGAAAAAAAGAUGAAGAAUGAUAAACAAAAACAGAUUAUUUGAUAAGUAUUCUGUCCCUCCCCCUAUACCUGCUGUUGCUUCAUAUCUGAUGUGUCAAAUUCUGUUUCUCACACUGUGUUUUGGACUUUACCUGGCAGACGAGUGCAGACAAGUAAUAACAGAUACAGCAACAACAGGUGAUACAGCUGUGCAGUACUUCCUGUGUACCUGAGGUCACAUACUGACGCUGUGGAAGAAGGAGACAGUCCUCCUGUCUACACAUCUCUCUCUCACCUCCUCGCAGCUUGGUCCUUUACCCACCCGACUUUAUCAAAUCAAGAUGAAAACGUUAUUUUUGUUGUUUCUCUUCUGUCACGUUUCAUCAGCAGGUAAGAUCACAUUUUAAAUGUUUAAGCUCUUUGCAUUUUCUUCCUGUGCAGCACCAGGACACACUAAUUAGUUUACU
rnacentral:lncRNA from 15 species